UUUUGUUGUUUCAAUUUUUUAGGCAAAGCAUUAAUGUUUAGGAUGUUAUAUAUAUGGUCAUUUUUCUGUAACUUCAAGAUAAAGAAAUCAGUGGAAUACAAAAAGUUACAGAAAUCUUUUCUCCUAGAGCUCUACUGUAGCAACUUAUUCUAUAGAAAAUCUUAUUUCAUAUUUUCUCUCCUGACUUUUAAACAACAAAAGUGAUAUAAGAGCCAUGGCUUCCUUGUCA
rnacentral:lncRNA from 1 species